rnacentral:rRNA from 1 species
UACGAGGGCUCCGAGCGUUAUCCGGAAUUAUUGGGCGUAAAGCGUCUGUAGGGGGUCUGGCAAGUCUGAUGUUAAAUCGUGGGGCUUAACUUCACGGCUGCACCAGAAACUGCCAAACUAGAGGGAAUGAGAGGUUAAUGGAACUCAUAGAGUAGGGGUGAAAUCCGUUGAUACUAUGGGGAACACCAGAGGCGAAGGCGAUUAACUGGCAUAUCCCUGACCCUGAGAGACGAAAGCGUGGGUUUCGAACGGG